rnacentral:lncRNA from 1 species
GAUCGGUUGAAUAUUUGAAACACAAAACAACAGUGUUGUUUGGUGCUGCAGGUGAAGGCUUUCUACCACACUGUUCUACAGACAUUAAGGUGAAAAAUCAGCCUGAAGCUCCACAAUGGUCUGCGAGUCAAACUGAGAAACAAACAACAGCAGCUAAAGACUCUCACAACAGCCCGCUAAACAAAGACAAGAAAAAGGACUGGAACAAUAGCACAGAAGAGUCAUGUUCAGAACGAUUAGCCGGCUUCUUUUUGGGGGGGUGGAGGAGGCCCCUGAAGAUGUCAAGGCCGGGGAAGUGCUGGAGGAAGAGUGGCUCGUUGUCACUCAUCAAGAGGCUGGUCCAUCAGAACACAUGAAGGAAGUGUUGGCAGAAACAUUGUCCAGCUCUACUCUACUUGGAAACACAGCAGCAGACAUGGG